UACGAAGGGAGCUAGCGUUGUUCGGAAUCACUGGGCGUAAAGCGCACGUAGGCGGAUGUGUCAGUCAGGGGUGAAAUCCCGGAGCUCAACUUCGGAACUGCCUCUGAUACAGCACGUCUUGAGUCCGAUAGAGGUGGGUGGAAUUCCUAGUGUAGAGGUGAAAUUCGUAGAUAUUAGGAAGAACACCGGGUGGCGAAGGCGGCCCACUGGAUCGGUACUGACGCUGAGGUGCGAAAGCGUGGGGAGCAAACAGG
rnacentral:rRNA from 1 species